CCCAGGCUCGCUCGUAGUAACUUUUCGGCGCAACUUAGUUACUCGUGGGGCGUGAGACCUGUUCUUUGUGGAGAACGCGGAGGGCGUGUCGGGGUAACUCCAUGUGACAGUGAAUCUUCUGGAUUUGGUGAAUUUUUUUGUGUUAGUGUUUGGUUCAUAAUUUUGGGGCUUAUAUGUUUUUUUCGGUGGAUUUUUUUCAUUCUUCAAACUUUAAAAGAUCUCGAGAUAUUUACUUAUUUUUUUAGAUUUUGUUAUUUGAGGAAAGUGACACUUCAUCGCUUUAUCGCUGACGUCGCCGACGAGCACGUGGUCUUACGAGAAGAGGAAAAGGGUGUGCCAGCCGACUCCCUCUACCCAACCCCCUACAGAGGAGAGAUACGAUUCGACAUGAACUAGACUGCGGUGCUGUAACACACACGUGAGGUCACCUCAGCCUCCCCCUUACUUCCCCCUCCCCCCUCCGACAAGCCACCUUCACCUCCCCUUUCUCUACUCCCCCUUACCCACAAUCCCUCAAUAGGUGGGCGUCCAGGCAGAGUCGCGGGCGUGAGGUGGGCGCAAUGACGAGGCAGUGGGCGUCCUGGUGGUGGGCGGAGGCGGUGGGUGUGGCUUUGGUGGUUCUGGUGGGCGUGUCUGUGACCACGCCCUUCGCCUCGGCUGCGCUCUGUGAGUUCUUUGCUUGUUUGUUGUUUUUUGUUUCUUUGUCAUUGUUACUGUUGUCGUUUUUUAUUUUAUUUCUUAUUUUUUUAUCUAGUCUUUGUUUG
rnacentral:lncRNA from 1 species